rnacentral:lncRNA from 1 species
AGGUCCAAACCCGCGCAAGGUGAGCAAAAGCCCUAGCCCUCUACGAAGCCAUUGUCAUUGCCGUCAUGCUUUCAAGCGAGUGGCCCUUCCUACACCACGUCAGCCACUGAUCACAGCGACUACCGCCACUCAAGUUUGCCCACCGGCGAUCAGAGAGAGCCAAGUAAAGCAACACUCGUCUUGAACUACUACUCCAAAUCUUGCAACCUAGAACCGAGCAGCGCAACAUAACAAAACAAGAUCUCAGACCCACGCCGAGCGAGGUCGAUCUCCCCUAGAAAACCCAGCCGCUCCGGCAAACAAGCACUACCGCCACACUCUAUUGCCGACGAAUAGCAACUUCUCUGCAUAUCAGAACGGCCAGGCCUGCCACCGCAAAACCCGACGCCUCCAAACGACAAAGAGAUCUCGCCUCUACACCCGACCCCUCCCAACGGCGAAGAGAUCUCUCCUUUACUAGAAUAAACGG